rnacentral:lncRNA from 1 species
UUUAAGGGCUUCUACCUCUGUAGCACUGUUCUCCUGUAUUUCUUUAAGUGGGUUAUUCAUGCCCUUCUUUAAAUAUUCUACCACUAUCAAGAUAUAUGAUUUUAAAUCUGCAUCUUGCUUGUCGUGUGUGUUGGGAUAUCCAGGACUUGUUGUGGUAGUCAUACUGGGUUCUAAUGAUGCCCAGUGUUCUUGAUUUCUGUUAGAAAGAUCCUUACGUUUGCCUUUUGUCCUCUGGAAAUGUUCAAGCUAUCUCUGGUUGGAGCUUGUGAUUCUGUUAGCCUCUGUCAGCAGUCCUGGGAGUCCAACUCUCACCUGAGUUCCGGUUGUCAGAGCACUCUCUGCAGGCAAGCUUUCCUCUUGCAGGGUAGGUGUCCAGCAGUCUGGAGCUCUGAUCCACCUCCUGAGUCCUGGGGUCAGAUCCCUCCCUGUAGGCCGACUCUCCUCUGGCAAGGAAUGUGCCCAGGGGCCUGGGUCUCAGCUCUGCCUCCUGGCUGAGGAUGAAGGCCCAAGAGGACCCUGACCAAGAAGCUCUGUUGCUUCUAUUGCCCACAUGCUUUCAGGUGAUCAGGAGGUCCUGGGUGUGCUAGGGGUCCUGAGUCUUGGAGAGUCCUCUGGUACUCUAGACACCCUCAGCCGGAUUCAAGCAGAAGAUAGUGAGGCUGGCCCCGACCUAAAUGGAUCCAAGCCUCUGGCCGGAGGGGUUCCUCCAUCCCUGUUCCUUCUGGCACAAGACCCUCCGCAAUUCUUGAAUCUGGUGUGGCGUUCCACUCACCUGUGAUCCUGAGGUGAUUCCGAGGUCCUGUGGCAUGGAGAGCACUCUGGAGCCCUUAGCAGCCUCCACUGGGCUCAGAAGGAAGAUCUCCGUUGUCUUUGUAACCUGCCUCAAUUUUCCUUCUGAAUUCUUUGACCUCUUAAUUUUAAAGUAAAAAAUCUGUUUUCUAGAAUUUCUUCAGUGCUGACUAGGGACUUAGAUUCUGCAUGCCCAGUGAUCACAACAUGCCUGCUCUUAGGGGAGAUCAUGAAAUCCAGGAGACUGGAAGGAAUCUGGAAGAUAUGAUUACAUUAGUUGGGACAUUAAACCAUGAAAACACAUUUAUCUUCUUCAUUUUUUCCCCAUUUUUCUUAACCAUGAUGUGCUUGGGAACAGCAAUGCUAGUGAAGCAUUAAGAUUGAAGACAGAAUCCGGCAGGAGUUAGUGUGAGUUUGUAGAUCUUGUCCAAGUUGUCAGGUAUACACUGAGCUUCCUACUCUAACAAUGAUAAUAUUUCCUCUUGCAUUCUGUCAGAAUCAAAGGCCUGGAAAAAAGGGCAUAGAGUGUUCCUAUACUUUAUAAAAAGGAAAGCAAGACUCCAGUAGUCAAUGUGACUGGGUUGUGACCACACACUCCAAAUCAGUUUCCAGAGUGCUUUAGUGGACAAGAUGAAUCUUGAUUACUAAGGCAUGUCAACACUAUUUUUCUAUGAAGAGUCACCAUGGCUUACAAGGACAUUUCUUUCUAGUGACUCCUGGGGAGUCUAUAGGCAUUUUCCCAUAACUGUUACUUUCACGAUCUUUUCAUAGAAAACAAACAAACAAAACCCCAAAUAACAACAACAACC